GUGCUCACUUCGACAGCACAUACACUAAAAUUGGAAAGAUACAGAGAAGAAUAGCAUGGCCCUUGCUCAAGGAUGACAAGCAAAAAUGUUCAUUGCUGCGUUUUAGU